GCGACACUCAACCACAGUAUGAAUGGUGGAGCUGCAGAGGCGAAGCCCAUUUGCAGCAAUUAAGAAAGUUAGUGGGAGUAAGGGAAUUUGAGGGGGGUCGGUUUGCUCUUCUUUAAGUGGACUUUUUUUUCCUCUGAAGAGCAAACUUUUAUUAGGUUUUUUUUUUUAAAUGGUUAAGGUCCAAAUCGGCGCAGAGUGCGCCUCGCAAAUAUUGUUUGAGUUUAAAAAGAAGCGCAAAGUGUGCGCCCCGCCGCCUGUGAUGUCUGUUUUCAGUGAGGACGUUAAGAGGAGAGGCAGAGGAUGAAGAGACAUGACAAACUGGUGAGUUAAGACAGUGCCCCUCAGGCGGAGUUGUUUCGUCACCUCACCGUCUGCUCAGAAGCGUGGGAAGGGGACUCGCAGAGAGAGACAGAAAGCGAGAGGCAGAAAAGAGAAGAGAUGAAGAGGAAAACUUGAAAUCCAAGACCAGCAGAGAAAAUGCUGAGUCAGUCCAGAGCGUGACAUCAUCAUCAUGAGACGGGGAGGCUGGUGAGUGCUGACCACAGGCGGUGACAGAAGAGCUGGUUGCAGUGUGCUGGUGGUUGGCACACAGCGGUGCCAUGGAGUCAGCUGGGGUAACAUUUUGCUUUCAUGUUGAAAGGAAGAACAAAUUCGGUCGGUGUGAAGCUGCAAUGUAAGAUCCUGUUCUAGCAGAAUGGGAUUUUAUUGUUCAUGUCAGCUACAGACCACCAUAAGGAGCCUGUUGCCUUGGUUACAGUUCCACUCAGUCGCAGACAGAGCUCCAUAAAGUCACAGAUGCCUUAAUGCCCCUCUAAAGCUUAAUUGUAAACUCCUAGACACUGAUCUGUGGCGUGUUACCUGCUUUCUGACUGCUCCAACUCUGCAUUCACAUGCUUUUCUGACUGUUUGACAGCAUCGCAGUCACAUGCUGUUUUGUUGGGAAAUCAAACCCAAAAGACAAACAAGAAACAAUCAUGGAUGCCCCGCAGCUGAGCAUGCUUAUUUAACAAAUUUCAUAUGUUAGUUACAGUGGUUUGUCCUGCUAACUACAAUGUGUAAUAUGUUCUAAAGCUGCAUGUCUGCUUCUUCUCCCUACAAUUCACUGACUGCAAAGUGACUGAAAAAUUUCCUCAACUUUGUGACCUCAUCAUCUGAUAUUUGGCAUCCAUGUGAAAUUUCUAAGCAGGGAAUUCAUUAUUUACAAUAUGUAUAUUUCAAGAAAAGUCCACUGAAGAGGACAUGAAAGGGUAUGAAGGAUCAGUUGUUCCCUUGUCAUGCAGCCCUGAUGAAGGUCCAUCAGCUCCACUGUCUUAAACGAGCUGCUGAAUUUGUUCUUCCUCUGUGUGUGUGUCUGUUUCAUGCACGUUGUUUGGAGUGUGAGGCAGGGACAGUUUGGGCUCUCUUGGUCUAAUGUUGCACAAACCCCAUGUAAAAGGACAUGCCAGUUUACAGAGCUAAGUGAAUCGAGUUUUAUUCUGGUGACAGGAAUCAUGUAUCUGUACAGCUUUUGAUGAAUGUAGGAAUGGUUGUUACAUGGUCAUGGAGUUUUGGGAGAAUAAAAUGCAGUUGAAGUAGUUGAUGAUCGCUUCAUUUGACUGGGAUUUCAGCUCUCCCUAGUUGACCAGCUGCCCUCCUCUCUUCUAUGGAGAAUAACAUUAGCAAACAAAGCUCAUAGCAUAGAGGCACUGAUCUGAUUAUGCAACACUCUCAGUUAUUUUCUCAAUUAAUCAGCUAGUUGUUUGGUCUGUAAAAUGUAUGAAACUGGUGAAAAAUGCUGAUCACAAUUUCUGACCGUCCAAGUUAAUAUCCUCCCCAACCAACCGGCUGUAACCCAAAAUUAUUCGCAUUUGAGAUGCUGGAAUCAGAGAAAUUGCAAAUUUUCUUCUUAAAACAUGAAAACUAGACCAGUGAACACGCUGUAAAAUCUGAUUAAAACUAAAGUGGAACUGAAAAAAAAAGUAAAAACAAAAUAAAGGAAAGGAAAGGAAGGGGAGAAACUAACCAAAAAACAAAAACCUUGAUAAGGACCAAAUCUAGAUGUGAUGCAUUAAAGUGGCUUUAAUAAAGACAGAGACAAACAACUGAUUUCCAGUGCAGGGCUCUUCAAAGAUAUUUCAAGAUUUACAGUUCAAAUUUUUACAGUAAUACACUUAUUUCAUUUUAUUAAAUAGAUAAUAUUACUUUUACCCCUCUGUGAUGAAGUUUCAUAACACCCAAAUACAGCAGAGGAAUGAAGUGUCCCCCUUCUGUCAGAAUAUGAGUGCUGGAGACCGCAGCACUGUGGUACACAGUGUUAACACAAAGUGUUAACACACACUACUAACACACACGUGUGUGUGUGUGUGUGUGGGUGUGUGUGUGUGUGUAUGGGUUGAGUGAGUUUCAUGACCCUCAGGCCCUCGUCACCUGUCACAACCACGGCCACAACCCCAUCGCAGGACAAGCCCUCUUUAUUCCUGAAAGAUUUACUUCUUCAAAACAGUUUUUUCCCCCUACAGUGACAGCGAUGUGCAGUUUGUCCUGAGAUGAACCGACUCUCUAUUUUAUGAUCUCGUUCUGCUUCAUAGUCAGAGCUGCCGGCUCCAACUACAGUUGCUUUUCUUAAACACUGAAGAUGCUUUUCUCCCUCAAGAAAAGCCUCUUUGAGCCUCAAAGUGAAGGCACAGAUCUGAGAGAUAAAGAUGUUCUGUGUCGAGGAGGGAAACUUGUUUUAAAAGGCCCUGCCUGGAGGCUCUAUUUACCGCUCCUCCACAGAGAGCCAGACAGGCAAAGUGAGCGUGAGAGAGAAAACACUCAAUACUGAGGAGAGCAGAGGGCCAACAGGGGAUGCUGCUGAAAAAAAAAAAAAACACACCAACACGCUCUCACAAAAUUUUCUGAGAGUGAACUCUGACAUGCAGAUAACACACUGAAGACAUGAAUAAUGUAAAGAGUACAGUCCCCAACCCUGGAAAUACUAUGUCACCAACAGCAUGAAUUGGACAGGGUUAUCUAACAGUUAUUGUUCGAGCAAGUUCAACAACUUUGGUUAAUAAGGUUAAUAAGGAUUCAGUCAUGGUUUAAUAAAAGCCUUUGCUCCAAAUAGAAAAGCUGUCAUAAGAUGGGAAUAGGCCUCAGAAGACAUGUUGUCAUUUGUCUCUGAUCUGUUAGCAUUUUCAGGAUUUCUGGAUGAAAAAAGAAGUUGUCUGUGGGAGAAAUUAAUGAAAUCCCUCAGAAUAUGAGAAAAGAAAAAAAAUCGAAUACAUUUUUAUAACUUUUAUACAACUAAGUGGUUAGCCUUCCAUGUUAACAUGUCGCACACAGAGGAGUCGUAGUGAUUCUCUCCCUCUAAAACUGUUUUUUGAUUAAAGAGAAACACACACAGCAGCUGCUAACCAGACACUUUUUUAUGGCUCAGCGGCGAGAGAGAACGAAUCUGGUUGUACGUUUUUUAAGCUUUUAGCUUUUUGCUUGCAAAUGAAGGAUUUGGGUUGGACAGCGGCAGCACAAUUCAAAGGAUCCAGUCUCAUUUAAGAGAGACAAUGACAGCUGCAGAUUAAAAGGACAGGUUUUAAAUGGGACUUUAAAUCAUACACUGUGACAGGGAUGACGACAUGAACACCCUGUGGAUUUUCUCCACAGUUACACUACGCUGAAGUUAAAAAUAUCCAUCAAUCUGCACCCCAAACUCCAUACCAUUACUUUGUACUGCUCUGUUUCAGCAUCAAAGUACUCCCUGUUUCCAUCACCGAGUGCUGUCCUGGUGGGAAAAAAUGCAUUUCCAUUAUGUUUGUGUACCGAGCUUGUAUAUUUGCAUGGUAAGACGUUGCACUUAUUUCCUGAAAUUCUGUGAGACCCAGGUGACAAGGAGAGAGAGGAAAACAGAGAGAGGGAGCCACGGUAAGAUGCUGAGCAAAAAACAAGGAAGAAAAAAAGAGACACGAGUGUGUGAAGUAGGAAGAGAACGCCAAAGAACAAAGAGGGAAGAGUGUGUGUGAAAAAAGAGAGAGAGGCAAGGCGAGUGAGGGAGAGAGAGAGCAAGAAAGAGAGAGAGAGAGAGGAGGGGAGCUAUAUUUGUCUGCCUAUAAAGCCCAGCAGGCUUCUUGUUUUGGAUUCCUGGCCUGUUGACGAGAGUUUAGCAGAAGUGAAUCUUGGUUGUGUGUGAAUUCCCCUGUAACUCUCUAAUGAUGCCGACAUGCCAAUAAAACAUCUCUCACCGAGGAAGUUGUCUGAUUGGACGUCUGUUCUUCUUCUUCUUGCUCCUGUUGCAUU